rnacentral:SRP_RNA from 1 species
GCUGGGUGUGGUGGUGCACGCUUAUAAUCCCAGCUACUUGGGAGGCUGAGGUGGGAGGAUCGCUUGAACCCAGGAGAUGGAGUUUGCAGUGAGCCGAGAUCGUGCCACUGCACUCCAGCCUGGGCAACAGAGCGAGACUCCGUCUCAA